rnacentral:rRNA from 2 species
UACGUAGGUGGCAAGCGUUGUCCGGAUUUAUUGGGCGUAAAGGGAGCGCAGGCGGUGACUUAAGUCUGAUGUGAAAGCCCACGGCUCAACCGUGGAGGGUCAUUGGAAACUGGGUCACUUGAGUGCAGAAGAGGAAAGUGGAAUUCCAUGUGUAGCGGUGAAAUGCGUAGAUAUAUGGAGGAACACCAGUGGCGAAGGCGACUUUCUGGUCUGUAACUGACGCUGAGGCUCGAAAGCGUGGGGAGCAAACAGG